rnacentral:tRNA from 1 species
UCCCUAUAGCCCAAAUGGUAAAGAAUCUGCCUGCAAUGCAGGAGACCCAGGUUGAAUCCCUGGGUAGGGAA